rnacentral:rRNA from 1 species
GAAAGUAAGAAAGGGCGUAUGGCGGAUGCCUAGGCUCACGGAGGCGAUGAAGGACGUGAUAAGCUGCGAUAAGCUUCGGGUAGGUGCAAAUAACCCUUGAUCCGGAGAUUUCCGAAUGGGACAACCUAGCCGUCUGAAGGACGGUUACUCAAUCUUCAAGAUUGAGAGCUAACGCAGGGAACUGAAACAUCUUAGUACCUGCAGGAAGAGAAAAUAAAUGAAUGAUUCCCCCAGUAGUGGCGAGCGAACGGGGAACAGCCCAAACCGUUGACGUCGCAAGGCGCCAGCGGGGUUGUAGGACCGCGACAUUGUAUGCAAAUCGUGAACAGAACACUUUGGAAAAUGUGACCAUAGACGGUGAUAGUCCAGUAUGUGAAGCGAAAUGCAGCAUAGCGGUAUCCUGAGUAACGCGGGACACGAGGAAUCCUGCGCGAAUCUGCCGGGACCAUCCGGUAAGGCUAAAUACUCCCGUGAGACCGAUAGCGAACGAGUACUGUGAAGGAAAGGUGAAAAGAACCCCGAGCAGGGGAGUGAAAUAGUUCCUGAAACCAUACGCCUACAAGCGGUCGGAGCACAGCAAUGUGUGACGGCGUGCCUUUUGCAUAAUGAUCCUACGAGUUACCGUCACUGGCGAGGUUGAGUGUCAUGAGACACGUAGCCGCAGUGAAAGCGAGCCUGAACAGGGCGCAUAGUCAGUGGGGGUAGACGCGAAACCAAGUGAUCUACACUUGGCCAGGAUGAAGUCCCGGUAACACGGGAUGGAGGUCCGCACCAAUAAGCGUUGAAAAGCUUCUGGAUGAGCCGAGUGUAGGAGUGAAAGGCCAAUCAAACUUGGAGAUAGCUCGUACUCCCCGAAAGGCAUUUAGGUGCCGCGUCGGAUGGUCACCGUGAGAGGUAGAGCGACCGAUAGGACAAGAGGGCUUCACCGCCUAUCGAGUCCUGACGAACUCCGAAUGCUCACGGUCUGCAGUCCGGCAGUAAGGGGGCGGGUGCUAAGGUCCGUCCCCGAGAGGAGAAGAAUCCAGACCGCCGUCUAAGGUCCCGGAGUUCUGCCUGAGUUAGUCUAACGAAGUCUGGUCCCUAUGACAGCUAGGAUGUUGGCUUGGAAGCAGCCAUUCAUUCAAAGAGUGCGUAACAGCUCACUAGUCGAGGGUCCGGGCAUGGAUAAUAAUCGGGUAUAAGGCAGACACCGAAGGCGCGGGAUAGCAUUUAAGAAAGUAUCGGUAGGGGAGCAUACUCACAGCGUCGAAUGGUGUACGUAAGUUAUCCUGGAGCGGUGAGUAAAGCAAAUGUAGGAAUAAGUAACGAUAAGGAGGGUUAGAUUCCCUCCCGCUGUAAGACCAAGGUUUCCCGGGCAAUGCCAAUCAGCCCGGGGUCAGUCGGGUCCUAAGUCUAAGCCGAACGGCGAUGGCGAUGGCAGAGACGGUUAAUAUUCCGUCACUGCCGCAUGGGGCGACGUGGAGACGGAGCAGUGAAACCACCGCGGGGCGACGGAAGUCCCCGUUGAAGAGUGUAGGCGUUGAGGAUGGCAGGCAAAUCCACCAUCCGAGCUGAACUUGAUAGUAUGGAGUCUUCUUCGGAAGAAUCCAAUAGUGUGGGUAAUCAUACUCCCGAGAAAAUCCGCUAAGCUUAACCCAUGCGGCACCCGUACCGCAAACGGACACACGUGGUCGGGUAGAACAUACUAAGGCGUUGAGAGAUUCAUGGUUAAGGAACUAGGCAAAUUGACCCUGUAACUUCGGGAUAAAGGGUCCUCGUGAUGAGCGAGGCGCAGAGAAUAGGUCCAGGCAACUGUUUAACAAAAACACAGGGCUGUGCAAACUCGAAAGAUGACGUAUACAGCCUGACACCUGCCCGGUGCCGGAAGGUUAAGAGGAGAUGUCACUCGCAAGAGGAAGCAUUGAAUUGAAGCCCCGGUAAACGGCGGCCGUAACUAUAACGGUCCUAAGGUAGCGAAAUUCCUUGUCGGGU